GACGAACGCUGGCGGCGUGCCUAAUACAUGCAAGUAGAACGCUGAAGAGAGGAGCUUGCUCUUCUUGGAAGAGUUGCGAACGGGUGAGUAACGCGUAGGUAACCUGCCUUGUAGCGGGGGAUAACUAUUGGAAACGAUAGCUAAUACCGCAUAACAAUGGGUGACCCAUGUCAUUCAUUUAAAAGGGGCAACUGCUCCACUACAAGAUGGACCUGCGUUGUAUUAGCUAGUAGGUGAGGUAACGGCUCACCUAGGCGACGAUACAUAGCCGACCUGAGAGGGUGAUCGGCCACACUGGGACUGAGACACGGCCCAGACUCCUACGGGAGGCAGCAGUAGGGAAUCUUCGGCAAUGGGGGCAACCCUGACCGAGCAACGCCGCGUGAGUGAAGAAGGUUUUCGGAUCGUAAAGCUCUGUUGUAAGUCAAGAACGAGUGUGAGAGUGGAAAGUUCACACUGUGACGGUAGCUUACCAGAAAGGGACGGCUAACUACGUGCCAGCAGCCGCGGUAAUACGUAGGUCCCGAGCGUUGUCCGGAUUUAUUGGGCGUAAAGCGAGCGCAGGCGGUUUGAUAAGUCUGAAGUUAAAGGCUGUGGCUCAACCAUAGUUCGCUUUGGAAACUGUCAAACUUGAGUGCAGAAGGGGAGAGUGGAAUUCCAUGUGUAGCGGUGAAAUGCGUAGAUAUAUGGAGGAACACCGGUGGCGAAGGCGGCUCUCUGGUCUGUAACUGACGCUGAGGCUCGAAAGCGUGGGGAGCGAACAGG
rnacentral:rRNA from 1 species